GGCUUAGUGUCAGUGUUAACACUUCAAACACUCAAUAUCUCCACAAAACACAAAGGACACACAACUGCUUGCCAUUGUCAUCGUUUCUUCUAGAAAAAGAGAUAUGGAUCCCUCCCAAAGUGUGACUUAACACACCUAUGGCAUCAUGUGCGACAUCACAGCCACUGCUGGAGGCUAAUCUCCAACCACUGGGAUCUGAUUUUCAGCAGUAUUGACAGUUCAAGAAUCAAUCUGUGCCAGCUUCCUCUACUGAACCUGAUGCCGCUCUCUUACUACGCAUGUGACUGAGCUGUACGACUCAGUUUCCCUGUGCUGUGUGCCUGCUUCUGAGAGGCGGGCGAUGAGGAGGUUGAAGCUGUCUAAACAUGUGCAGCCAUACUGCAGUGAUAAUCCGGACAAUUUAAACAUUUCUUACAAGCAGAAGUGAAACCAUUAAUCCUGUGAGAUUCUUCUGAUAAGUGGUGACUGUGAAGUAAUGGCCAUGUCGCCUAGAAAAAUAAAAAAUAUGUGGACAAUUAAAACAAGAUGGACAUUAUCUGGCAAGUCCCUACUCCCCUUUUCUUUAGCAGUAUUGUAAUUGAUCUGUCCCUUUGUUACUAAACUGAAUAUUGAGUCCUGGCUUUUUGUUCAUUAUCUGUGGAUUUUAACAUGGUGCACAUUUGUCAAGAUGGAAAAUCAUGUAAAAAAAGGAAACCAGUGAUUAUUUUCUUCACAUAUACAAAUGCUGUUCUGAAGAAAAGUCAAUUCUCAUGUCCCCUGCUAAAGUUUCUGGCUAUAAUGUGUUGACCUUUCCAGGCACCCCUGUUGUUUAGUUAUUUGAAAGUACUUUGACAAGCUGCAGUAUAUGACAGGAGUAUGUUGUAUCUGGAAUUAAGUCCAUUCACAUUUGAUUGUCCUUAAAAACUCUGUCAAACUUUUGCUCUGGGAGUUUGCUUUGCCCUAGAAAAUCAAUGUGACAUGUUUGGGCCGGGGGGGUAAUAAUCUGGUUCCCUGACCAUAGUGAACACCCUAAUUUCUGUGGCUUGGCAAAGUUUUAGUGAUUUAGUGUGUUGAAUUAUGGUAAUUAAAGGUUGAAUUAUAAAAGUU